AACGAACGCUGGCGGCAGGCCUAACACAUGCAAGUCGAACGCCGUAGCAAUACGGAGUGGCAGACGGGUGAGUAACACGUGGGAACGUACCCUUCGGUUCGGGAUAACUCAGGGAAACGUUGAGCUAAUACCGGAUACGUCCGAGAGGAGAAAGAUUUAUCGCCGAGGGAUCGGCCCGCGUCUGAUUAGCUUGUUGGUGAGGUAACGGCUCACCAAGGCGACGAUCAGUAGCUGGCUGAGAGGAUGAUCAGCCACAUUGGGACUGAGACACGGCCCAAACU
rnacentral:rRNA from 1 species